rnacentral:rRNA from 1 species
CAGUAGCCGCGGUAAUACGAAGGGUGCAAGCGUUAAUCGGAAUUACUGGGCGUAAAGCGUGCGUAGGCGGUUUGUUAAGUCUGCUGUGAAAUCCCCGGGCUCAACCUGGGAAUGGCAGUGGAUACUGGCAAGCUAGAGUGUGUUAGAGGAUGGUGGAAUUCCCGGUGUAGCGGUGAAAUGCGUAGAGAUCGGGAGGAACAUCAGUGGCGAAGGCGGCCAUCUGGGACAACACUGACGCUGAGGCACGAAAGCGUGGGGAGCAAACAGGAUUAGAUACCCCUGUAGUCCCUGUCUCUUAUAC